rnacentral:ribozyme from 13 species
UUGUUCUUUCUUUUCCUUGUUUGCUGUCUGUUUCUUUUGUAUCCCUUUCUUUCCCCUUCCUCAUUUUUCCAACCCUAGCCUUUCCAUUGGGAGUGUCGGAGCAAAACUCAGGGGUUGGUCCAGAGGAAGAAGAAGAAGAAGAAGAUGUGCUUUCUUCUUCUUGUGGUCUCUUCGAGAAAUUUUUAAAUAAAAACAU